rnacentral:ncRNA from 1 species
UAUCUUUGCACCCGAAUUACAUAAUAAUCAUUUAAAUAAUAUUGGAAUG